rnacentral:rRNA from 1 species
UACGUAGGGGGCAAGCGUUGUCCGGAUUUAUUGGGCGUAAAGCGCGUGUAGGCGGCUUGGUAGGUCAGCUGUGAAAACUCGAGGCUCAACCUCGAGCUGUCGGUUGAAACCACCUUGCUAGAGUCCGGAAGAGGCGAGUGGAAUUCCUGGUGUAGCGGUGGAAUGCGCAGAUAUCAGGAGGAACACCGAUGGCGAAGGCAGCUCGCUGGGACGGUACUGACGCUGAGGCGCGAAAGCGUGGGGAGCGAACAGG